rnacentral:rRNA from 1 species
GACGAACGCUGGCGGCGUGCUUAACACAUGCAAGUCGAACGGAAAGGCCCUGCUUUUGUGGGGUGCUCGAGUGGCGAACGGGUGAGUAACACGUGAGUAACCUGCCCUUGACUUUGGGAUAACUUCAGGAAACUGGGGCUAAUACCGGAUAGGAGCUCCUGCUGCAUGGUGGGGGUUGGAAAGUUUCGGCGGUUGGGGAUGGACUCGGGGCUUAUCAGCUUGUUGGUGGGGUAGUGGCGUACCAAGGCUUUGACGGGUAGCCGGCCUGAGAGGGUGACCGGCCACAUUGGGACUGAGAUAGGGCCCAGACUCGUACGGGAGGCAGCAGUGGGGAAUAUUGCACAAUGGGCGGAAGCCGGAUGCAGCGACGCCGCGUGCGGGAUGACGGCCUUCGGGUUGUAAACCGCUUUCGCCUGGGACGAAGCGUGAGUGACGGUAAUGGGUAAAGAAGCACCGGCUAACUACGUG